CUCCCUUUUUUGGUCUUGAUGGUUGUGUGGUUGGUCCACAUCAUCGAGAACAAAGGUUCAAGGGUUGGCAGAGGAAGAGAAAAUAUCCACGACGUUGGAAAAGAUGAAUGAUUUUUUUUUCCCCAUUAUAAUCUGUGUUUUUAAGAAUAAAAAUAAGAUAAUUCCCUCUUGUGAGUCUAUAAAUAGGCUGAUUGGCAAUAGAGUUUAGCAGCAAACUAGCGUAGCUAGCACCCAAAUCUAGAGGUGAAAACAUGGCAUUAAUUAAAGCCUCUUCCAUCUUCUUUUGCUUCCUUGCUCUGGCUAGCUUUUUAGCUUCCAUUGAAGGAACUCAACCUACCCAUCACGUUACUCAUCUUAACAGAUCCACUUUUCCAAAAGAUUUCAUUUUCGGUGCUGGCUCAGCUGCUUACCAGUCUGAAGGAGCAGCACAUAUAGAUGGAAGGGGACCUAGUAUAUGGGAUGUUUUCACAAGGGAACAAAAAGGUCUCUUAAUCUCUCUAAUCUCUUCAAUCAAUCCUUGAACCUCUUUGCACAUCAGAUUUCAUAUGUUAUGUAUAUUCUUUUCUAUCAGAAAAUAAAAUAAAAUAAAAUGUAUAAAUGAGGUCAAUUAUUAUUAUUAUUGAUGAACAAGGUCAGUUAGUAUAAAGAACGGCGCAUUCACGCGAUCGAAUUAAACAAUAAUAUAUAAUAAAGGAACCGCUCUAUACAUGCAUAUUGCAUUAUUAUAGAUUUACCCAAAAAAUAAAAAAUAAAAAUCGCAUUAUUAUAGUC